rnacentral:sRNA from 1 species
GCUGGGCGUGGUGGCGCAUGCCUGUAAUCCCAGCUACUCGGGAGGCUGAGGCAGGAGAAUUGCUUGAACCUGGGAGGCGGAGGCUGCAGUGAGCCGAGAUCACACCACUGCACUCCAGCCUGGGCGACACAGCCAGACUCUGUCUUUU